CCGCUCACCUCGGUAGCGGCGGGAGGCGAGAUGGCCCGCCGCGAGCAGCAGCACGGCCACCAGCGCCAGCACCUUGGCGCUCCUCACGCUGAAGUAGUGGUUGAUCUCCCGCUUGCCCAGCAAAUUGCAGCUCAACCCAUCGAUGGAUUAACAGAUUGUGUUAUCUACUUAACCUCCCCAAAUGAAAACUUACUAAAAACAUCUGUCAGGGAACUGUGAACUGAAGAUGAUUCUACUCGUAACACUGGCAUGCAAGAAGGACAAAUGUCAGGUUGGACUCACAUCACGACCCGCUUCACCAGGAGCGCCAUUGACCCCAGGACUGCCCACAGCACCGGGGGGUCCACGGGCACCAGGAGGACCAGCCAUGCCAAGAGGACCAGGUUCACCCUGUCAGGGCAGAGAAGACAAGACGUUACUCUCCUGGGAUGGAAGGCCAACCUCACCCUCCACAAACAGCUGUAGCCCAGAGAUCCGAGUUUGAAAAGCAAAGGUAAAGAAUGCCAGCAGCACCCCUCUCUCCUGGGAGGCCACCAGGCCCAGAUGCACCAGCAUUGCCCGGAGCACCAACCGCACCAGGUUCACCCUUGAAUCAAACACAUGUGAAAUCAAUUAUUUCAGUUGCAAAAGAAGAAAAAUGAUGGAUCAACCUCUCGAAGAAUUCCAAUUUAGACAUUUAAUAGAUAGCAUUCUUGCCUGUUCAGGGACACAAAAUAGGGCUAUUGAAAGGAGGAAGAAUGUUAUAGAGAAAAAUGUUAUUAAUGAUACAGUAACUAAAGUAAAGAGGGGAGUGGGAGUAGGUGACAGUGGCUCCUCCACCCAGUCCUCUUAAGAAGGAAAGACAGCUGCCGAGAAGAAGACAGGACAAUGGGGAACAAACAUUGCCCACAAACAUUUUCAAGGGCCCUGGAGGUCCAGAAGGACCCCGGCUCCCAAUAGGACCAGGAGGACCAGCAGCACCGCUCUCCCCAGGAGGACCGCGCUCCCCCUGGAAAA